UUUACGUUGAAACAGGAAGUGUUGCUCCUCUGUAAUGUCGCCAGCUUUGCCUCAAAUAAUAAUAGUGUCGUUACCGGCUGUGUCCGCCAGAGGGCAGUAAUGUGUACAGUAAAGGGUUAGUGACUUUAGGGGUCAUUUUGAAUGUUUUUAUGGCUAUUUUUGCUUCAGUUUGUUCAUGUUUUGUCUCAUAUUGUUACUUUAGUGACUUUAGGGGUCAAUUUGCAUGUUUUUAUGAAUAUUUUUGAUUCAGUUUGUUCAUUUUUUGUCUCAUAUUAUUACUUUAGUGACUUUAGGGGUAAUUUUGCAUGUUUUUAUGGCUAUUUUUGAUUCAAUUUGUUCAUUUUUGGUCUCACAUUGUUACUUUAGUUACUUUAGGGGUCAUCUUGCAUGUUUUAAUGGCUAUUUUAUUAUUCAGUUUGUUCAUUUUUUGUCUCAUAUUAUUAUCAUAGCAGAGGCUCAUGGGUAACGUGGUUCUGAGGCAGCCAGGAGCAGAGGCUCAUGGGUAACAUGUCUCUGAGCCAGCCAGGAGCAGAGGCUCAUGGGUAACGUGGUCCUCUGUUUCCAGUCUUUAUGCUAAGCUAGGCUAACAGUUCUAACCUCUUUCCAGUCUUUAUGCUAAGCUAGGAUAGCUGUUUUCCUCUGUUUCCAGUCUUUAUGCUAAGCUAGGCUAACAGUUCUAACCUGUUUUGUCUUUCUGCUAACCUAGGCUAACAGUUCAAACCUGUUGUGUCUUUCUGCUAACCUAGGCUAACAGUUCCCACCUGUUGCCAGCCUUUGUGCGAAGAACCACAGCUAGCCACAGUUAUCCACAAGUAGCCACAGUUGUCUACCAGUGCAGCACAGAGUUAUCUGCAACAACAAUAAACAUCAUUAACCUGGAAAGUCUGGCUGCCGUGUUCACUCAACUCAACUCAACUCAACUCAGACCGACAAAUUCUUCAAUGGAAACUCUAUGUUGCCUGCUAAUCUUGAUUUGGAAGUAGAGGCUCGAGGAAAUGGACAAGGAAUACUAGAGUACAGGGAAAGACGACCACGGGUUGUGACCUAUUACAAUCAGCUGCAUGAGGUGGAAGAGAAAAUGCCCUGCAAGCACUUUGAUCUCAACGUCACUUUUGAAGGAUCCAGCGGGCUCUAGGACCCAGAGACGUCAGGAUGGUGGUUCUUGAUAUCAGUCUACCAACUGGAUUCACCCCAGAAAACUCUGACCUGGAGAUGCUGUCCAAUUCAGUGCAUCGUUACAUCAGUAACUUCCAGAUUGUAGACGACCUGAGUGACAGAGGCUCCCUGAUCAUUCACCUGUUCAAAUGUCCCUGAUAGCAGAGCUGGAUGCUUCAGAUCUGUGGUGGUUCUCCCACCAACUGGCCUAAUCUCCAUCUGUGGGAUGCAUCUGCUGCUGACCUUCCUCCUGCCCACUGCUUCCAGCUUCCCAUUUCCAUCAAUCUACUCUGCAUCACCCUCACUAUACUUGAUUUGCUCAUCUACAUAUUUUUGAAUUUACCACCAGCUAUAUAUAUAGUAUAUUUAAUGCCAGAGCCAUACACCAUAGCAGUAAACUAUAAUCAGUUUCCAGCCCAGAGGGAUAUAUGCGCAUAUUUUUUUAAAUACCAUGAAGAAGACUAUAUACAGGAAGAUGAGGUAUCAGUUCUUGCACAUAGAUAUACAACAGUCCUUUAUUACUCCCCAGGUCAGGGGAAAUUUCCAGUGUUAGAGCAGCAAAAAUCUUUCAGAGCAGCACUAACUACAGUUUACUACAGUAAAGAUAAUUAUAAUAACAAUAAUAUAUACAAGAAUGAAAAAUGAAUAAAUACAGUAUUACUACACUAUAAGUGACAUCAGCAUAAAGUGGCUUGUGGAAUACAUUUAAAGUGCAGAAAAUGCCAGCAGUACAAGGAGUUGUGGAUAUUUUCUCAAAACAGGUGAGUCCUGUGAAUAUGACCAACAUAUGAGAUAAAACUACCAGAAACAUGUACAAAAUGACCAAAAUAUGAUUGGUUGAUAAUGUAUCAGUGUUGUUACUGAUUAUUGAUCGGUUGCAGGGACAGAGAUUUGUGUCUGAGUCUCUGCUGUCAUCUAAUCUCUCUCAUGCAAGAUCAUGUCACAGGAGGGGGCGCUACUGGCCUCUUGUGGACACAGGCGGUAACGACAUGACAUUAUUAAUAACUGUAUAGCUGGCAACAUUACAGUUGAGGAGCACUUCCUGUUCAUGUUCAACGUAAAAGCAUCUUUAUUGUACAUUUAAUGUCAAAAGUAUUACUAAGCGAUUUUGGUAGAUUCAGAAGGAUCUCUGAUGUAAACUAAGUUGCAUUUAACGACAGCUAGCUUCUCCACUUGCUCCAAUUACUUUUGUUGUAGUCCGAGUCACGUCCAAACAGGAAAUGAAUUCAUAAUGUAGCUAAUGACAAUCUAUAGCUGCAUCUGUGAUGGCAGCGUUAGCGAGCUAGCAGCUAAUCAGAAGCUAGUGACAAGCUAACUCCAGCGCUACAAGCAGCGUCUCUUUAAAAGGUGCUGAUCACGCUAUCAGGCUGAAACGUGAGACCUGGGACAGGGAAAGGAGCUAGAGCGCUGUGUCUUGCAGAGGAUUUAUUUUAGAACUACGCAUGUUAAGGUAUUAGUCCGUGUCAUAGCGAAUCCUCGUUAGCACUUCCGCUAGCUCGGCUAAUACUUCCGUUCACGACUGCAUUUGUAAAUUAGGUAUAACGUGUUCAUUUUUGAACGUAUAGUGACAACAAACACAAUUUGAGACUGUCGACAAGCUAGUGGUCCUUAAAUAGAUUUUGUUUCAUACUGCAGAUUCUUCUGAGUCUCACAAAACCACGUUUUAGCAUAAUAGCAUUACUAUAGUUUUACGUAUAAUAAACCCCAUGACAAUUGUUAACUUCAGGCCCAAUUUGCUGCAUUACUGUGUUUUCUAAUUGUCUGAAAACAAAUACCUCUGGAUUUUGGACUGUUUUUCAGAACGACCAAACACGCGUUUAGAUAUCAUCUUGGCUUUUCAGAACUUACGUUCACAUUCUUUUUUUUUUUUUUUUUUUUUUGCCAUUUUAGCUGUGCUUCGUUCCUCUUCUGUCAUCCUAGUGCACUGUGUGUUAUCUGUGAUUUUUUUGUUCCUUUUUUUCCCUUUACUGGCAUAUUAAAGGGAAAAAAUACAAAAAUACAAAUGGACGAUUAUUAUUAUUAUUAUUAUUAUUAUUAUUGUUAUUAUUAUUUUUACUAAAAAAAAAAAAAAGACUAAACUGAAUUGAAGUGAAAGACACUAUUUCCCCAGUUGAAUUGGCAGUCACCUGUUUGAUAAAUAAAGUGCAACUUCUUCUGUCACACUACAUGAAUUGCAUUAGCGUUAUAGUGUUUUGUCUCUACCUAACCGCUGUGUGUGGAUACAAAAAUGCCUGUUGUCAAUGCUUGAACCCUAAUACGGUGAUAAUAAUUUAAAAGAAAAAAAAUGUUUCCAUGAUUGUGCCUGUUACAGUUGUUUGUUACUAGAAAACUAGAAAUUGACCUGUCAUCAUUUGUGCAUAACACGUUGCCUGCCGCAUGCACUGAUUUAAAAAAAAAAAAAAACAAAACAAAAAAAAACAAAAUUUUUUUUAACUCCAAUUGUGCCUGUUAUAUGCUUACAUGUACUUUUACUCCAAUUGUGCCUGUUAUAUGCUUACAUGUACUUUUUACUCCAGUUGUGCCUGUUAUAUGCUUACAUGUGAUGUUUAACUACACGAUCCAUUUUCAUUGUGUUCUUGCAGAAAUUGCCCUGUCAUCGUUUGUGCACGGCACGUUCAAUUUUUGUCAUUCCAAUAUGAUCUGCUUGUGUGUGUAUCACAGUUUCAAAGUUUUCAUCACGGUUUCUGCCUUCAUCGUCACUUAUGGUCAUUCUGAUAUGAUUUGCCUGUGCAUUUAUCAAAUUGUUAAUCACACUUUCAGCUUUAAGCGUGAAUUUUAGUCAAUCUGAUAUGAUUUGCCUGCGCAUGUACCAUAUUUUUCAUCAUAUUUUCUGCUUUAAUCAUGACCUCUUCAAGAGGUUAUCUUGUUAUAACCUAGAUUGAAGUCGGUGAAGAUGGCUUUAAGCAGUAUGAUGUCAUCACGGCUCUGGACAUGGACGCCAUGAUGAGUACGAUGUACGCGUGGCUGCAGAACCUGGUGAAGUUUGACAAGUCUCAUGGUGUUAAUAACACCUUGGACACAGAGAUCGUCCCCGAGUCUGACCACGAGGAGGAGGAGACGACUCACAUCCUCAUUGUAGAGACCAUCUUGCUUUACACCUACAGGCCUUUGAUCCACAUGCUAUGCCAACGUUAACCUUAUUUUACAUAUGAAAAACGCAAAAAAAAAAAAGAAAAAAAAAAGGUGCUCUAGGAACUACAAAGUGCCAGCCAGGCAUUAGUCAUUCCAAUAUGAUCUGCUUGUGCAUGUAUCACAGUUUUCAUCACAAUUUCUGCCUUAAUCAUCAGUUAUGGUCAUUCCAAUAUGACCUGCUUGUGCAUUUAUGCAAUUUUUCUUCACAUUUUCUGCUUUAUCCGUCAAUUUUUGUCAUUCUAAUAUGACCUUGCUCUGUAGUGUGAACAUCACAGAGACCUGUGCUAAUAGCAUUAGCGUUCUGAUGAUUUUCCCGUGAUUCCUUGCAGUGUCUGCCGCCAUUUUGUUGCCUUCCGCCAUUUUGCUGCCGCUGCUCCGGAGGCCUUCGCUGUACCACACAGACUGUUCAGAAAGAGCGACUGACGACCGUUUAAGAGGAGCUAACCGCGAUCUUUCUGUCCACGACCGAGGCUGGGCUUCGUUGUCAAGUGGGUGAGAAGAAAACAAAGGUGUCGCGCCAGCCAGCCAGCCGACAAUGCUAACGGACGUCAUGGGAAAGCAGGAUUAGAGAUCAGAGGAGAGGCCUAUGCUGAUAGCAUUAGCGGUCACAUGAUCUUCCCCAAGAUGUUUUGCGGUUACGAGAAACCAUCGAGUUCCGUGUUGCUGCGAUGGCCGAGGAGAGGCACCUGUGGGUUUCCCUGCCUGGGAGACAAAUGGACCGGGUGCAGACAGACACGGGAACUCUUGAUGCAGUGUGCCAGCCAAAAGAAGCUCGACACCAGUCUGAAAGGGAAGUUCCACAGUUUCUAUGAAGGAGGAGUUGCUGAAGCGGGAAAGCCAACACCUAACUCCUGAACGACUCAGUCUACACAGAGCUGUACAUCACAGGUUAGGUUGGGGGUACUUAACAUAGGCCUCACCCACCUCAAGGGACCGAGACAUCCAACUCUUCAAGCCUAUCCGGGCAGGUUGUAGUAACCUAACGGUGAUAACAAGCAACCUGUUAACCUAUGUAGGCGGUAAGUAUGCGGCCCUCCUGGGUUCCGACUCUAGGAACAGCAUGCAGGAUGUGGUGGUCCAGGGCAUCAGCACCUCAAUCGUUGCCCAGUCUUCUAGAAGGCUUAGCCUCACCCACCCAACAGCCCAUUCUGCACCACACACGCUGAAUUGAAUCUGCCAAAAAAAACCAAUUGGACUCCUUCAAAUUGACCUGACCCCCUAACAUUCUCAUCCCCUGGCCUGAUGUAGGGGACCAGGCCGUGGAUGCACCGGGACCUAGGACCGUUAUCCGACCUCUUUUCUCUCACUCCCUCUACCUUAAAUUCUAAGACAAAAAGACUUUUACAUAUUCGGCCCUUAUGACUGACCUCUAAAAAAAACCCCGAAACCUGUAAUAACAACUGACUUAGAACAGCUCAAAACACUUACCUGUAAAACAACGAUACUUGGGUAGAAUAUAGAAUAAAUAGAUUUACUUACCUUAAAACAAUCCUUCGUAGUCAACUGUAACAAACCACAAAUGUACCUACCUGACUCACCUGACUACAAGACUGAUCAUCGCAAAACAGACCUUAGACCCAAGAACGAAUAAAAUAAACAAAAUCUACUUAUUUUCUUUUAAAAAAAUAAUAAAUAAAUAAAUAAAUAAAUAAAUAAAUAAAUAAAUAAAUAAAUAAAAGACUUGCAAUUGACGACAGGACGCACUCUGAGACCUGAUCAGUCUCGGCGGGGCCUCCCUUGGGGGAGAGUGUCUAGUGAUAAUGGCCGAAACACUCGUUGAUCCCAAGGUCCACUACUGAUGACGUGUCCUAAAAUUAAUAAAACAUUUAGGCCUAGAUUACCUUACAACCCAGAGACCCUGAAACACUGAAUCAAUAUAGGCGGUCUCUUUAAUAGGUAACACAGGACCUAACUACAGGCUUUUAGAUCCACCAAGACUGGGACCAUUAGCCACUUGACUAGACUUAGCCUGACUUCUGACCCUACACCUAGCCCUGACCUCUGACCCCAUCCCCUGACCCUAACCUCAACCCCCUCCCCUCACCUCUUGACCUCUAACCCUAACUCCCUGACCUCUAACCCUAACCCUAGAACCUUCAAAACCUGAACCACCAAUUUGGACUAGUGUAGGGCUGCUUUUGGAGUCUGGGCUCAUAUAGGAUGGCAGGUACUCACUCGGUGCGCACCAAGCUUUCGGGCUGUUUGUCAUUCUAUCCAAUCACGGUCUGGGGACAGGUCUCGUACCGGGGGCAGUGCCUGAGCUUGGCUCGGCACUACAAAUGCUCUUUCCCAGUCCUGUGUCUCCUAAGCAACCUCUACAUCAAAUACGCAUACUCCAUUAACUCCCAAACGGGCUUGUUAACCAGACCAAACCCUUAACCCAAGUUAAAACAUCAUGCAAAGUGCCUCAAAACCUGCUCAAAAACAAUAAAAACUGACUCUGAAAUGACUCAAA